rnacentral:rRNA from 1 species
UACGGGAGGCAGCAGUAGGGGAAUCUUCCGCAAUGGGACGAAAGUCUGACGGAGCAACGCCGCGUGAACGAUGAAGGCUUUCGGGUCGUAAGUUCUGUUGUUAGGGAGAACAAGUACCAGAGUAACUGCUGGUACCUUGACGGUACCUAACCAGAAAGCCACGGCUAACUACGUGCCAGCAGCCGCGGUAAUACGUAGGUGGCAAGCGUUGUCCGGAAUUAUUGGGCGUAAAGCGCGCGCAGGUGGUCCUUUUAAGUCUGAUGUGAAAGCCCACGGCUCAACCGUGGAGGGUCAUUGGAAACUGGGGGACUUGAGUGCAGAAGAGGAAAGUGGAAUUCCACGUGUAGCGGUGAAAUGCGUAGAGAUGUGGAGGAACACCAGUGGCGAAGGCGACUUUUCUGGUCUGUAACUGACACUGAGGCGCGAAAGCGUGGGGAGCGAACAGGGAUUAGAUACC